rnacentral:lncRNA from 1 species
AGAAAGCCAGCCAGCCAGCGAGUGGUUUGCACACGGACAGUGCGAUGCGAUGGAACCGAUCGAUGGCGCGUUGCCGAUUCAACUGGAGUGUCCCUUAAAGUUGCCUCUGCUCCUCGUCGUCGCUCCCAACCAACCACUGGGCGCGGGUGCGGGUGCGGGUGCGGGUGCGAGCUAGUGGCACUAGCACUCCAGCAGACGAUCGAUCGUGUCGCAUGUAUCGCAUCAACUGUGCUCUGACACUGUUCGCAGUCGCGACGUCUUUCCCCUCCUUUUUCCU